ACAGCAGCGCGGCAGCCGGCCCGCUCGGGCCCACUCCGUCUUCCCAUUUCUGCAUCGUCUCGGCACCAUUCUUCGGCGCAAGCCCGCACAGCUUCGCCAUGUCACCGGUCGUCAUCCGACGGCCGAGCGCAUCGGCCAGGUCGUGCCGCAGCUGCUUGAGCUCUCCGCCGGUCAUUUUCCCCACCAAUCGAUGCGGCUGAACGUAAUGUUGCGUUUGACCAUUUCGUCGGAUAGAUCCUUGGCCCACUGUCG
rnacentral:misc_RNA from 1 species